UACGUAGGGGGCGAGCGUUGUCCGAAUUUACUGGGCGUAAAGCGCGCGUAGGCGGAUUUUUAAGUUGGGGGUGAAAUCCCGGGGCUCAACCCCGGAACUGCCUCCAAAACUGGAAGUCUUGAGGUAUGGAGAGGGAAGUGGAAUUCCAGGUGUAGCGGUGAAAUGCGUAGAUAUCUGGAGGAACACCCGUGGCGAAGGCGGCUUCCUGGUCAUAUCCUGACGCUGAGGUGCGAAAGCUAGGGGAGCGAACGGG
rnacentral:rRNA from 1 species